rnacentral:rRNA from 1 species
GUAGGGGGCCAGCGUUGUCCGGAUUCAUUGGGCGUAAAGAGCGUGUAGGCGGUUCAAUAGGUCCGAUGUGAAAACUCGAGGCUCAACCUCGAGAGGUCGUCGGAAACCAUUGAGCUAGAGUCCGGAAGAGGAGAGUGGAAUUCCUGGUGUAGCGGUGAAAUGCGCAGAUAUCAGGAAGAACACCGAUGGCGAAGGCAGCUCUCUGGGACGGUACUGACGCUGAGACGCGAAAGCGUGGGGGAGCGAACAGGAUUAGAUACCCUGGUAGUCCACGCCGUAAACGAUGGGCACUAGGUGUGGGUGGUGUCGACUCCAUCCGUGCCGCAGCUAACGCAUUAAGUGCCCCCCGCCUGGGAGUACGGCCGCAAGGCUA